rnacentral:rRNA from 1 species
GAAGCAGCUUGCUGCUUCGCUGACGAGUGGCGGACGGGUGAGUAAUGUCUGGGAAACUGCCUGAUGGAGGGGGAUAACUACUGGAAACGGUAGCUAAUACCGCAUAACGUCGCAAGACCAAAGAGGGGGACCUUCGGGCCUCUUGCCAUCGGAUGUGCCCAGAUGGGAUUAGCUAGUAGGUGGGGUAACGGCUCACCUAGGCGACGAUCCCUAGCUGGUCUGAGAGGAUGACCAGCCACACUGGAACUGAGACACGGUCCAGACUCCUACGGGAGGCAGCAGUGGGGAAUAUUGCACAAUGGGCGCAAGCCUGAUGCAGCCAUGCCGCGUGUAUNAAGAAGGCCUUCGGGUUGUAAAGUACUUUCAGCGGGGAGGAAGGCGAUNAGGUUAAUUACCUUGUCGAUUGACGUUACCCGCUAA